GGGUGCUCGAGUGGCGAACGGGUGAGUAACACGUGAGUAACCUGCCCUUGACUUUGGGAUAACUUCGGGAAACUGAGGCUAAUACCGGAUAGGAGCUCCUGCUGCAUGGUGGGGGUUGGAAAGUUUCGGCGGUUGGGGAUGGACUCGCGGCUUAUCAGCUUGUUGGUGGGGUAGUGGCUUACCAAGGCUUUGACGGGUAGCCGGCCUGAGAGGGUGACCGGCCACAUUGGGACUGAGAUACGGCCCAG
rnacentral:rRNA from 1 species